UACGUAGGCAGCAAGCGUUUGUUCGGAGUUACUGGGCGUAAAGGGUGCGUAGGUGGCUCUAUAAGUAUGGUGUGAAAUCUCCCGGCUUAACUGGGAGGGUGCGCCGUAGACUGUGGGGCUAGAGUGUGGGAGAGGAAAGUGGAAUUCCUGGUGUAGCGGUGAAAUGCGUAGAUAUCAGGAGGAACACCGGUGGUGUAAACGGCUUUCUGGAACGGUACUGACGCUGAGACGCGAAAGCGUGGGGAGCGAACAGG
rnacentral:rRNA from 1 species